rnacentral:rRNA from 1 species
UACGUAGGGUGCGAGCGUUGUCCGGAAUUAUUGGGCGUAAAGAGCUCGUAGGCGGUCUGUCGCGUCGGUCGUGAAAACUUGGGGCUUAACCCUGAGCUUGCGGUCGAUACGGGCAUGACUGGAGUUCGGCAGGGGAGACUGGAAUUCCUGGUGUAGCGGUGAAAUGCGCAGAUAUCUGGAGGAACACCGGUGGCGAAGGCGGCAUCCUGGACCAACACUGACGCUGAGGAGCGAAAGCCAGGGGAGCAAACGGG